rnacentral:rRNA from 1 species
GACGAACGCUGGCGGCGUGCUUAACACAUGCAAGUCGAACGAUGAUGCCCAGCUUGCUGGGUGGAUUAGUGGCGAACGGGUGAGUAACACGUGAGUAACCUGCCCCUGACUCUGGGAUAAGCGUUGGAAACGACGUCUAAUACUGGAUACGACUGCCGGCCGCAUGGUCUGGUGGUGGAAAGAUUUUUUGGUUGGGGAUGGACUCGCGGCCUAUCAGCUUGUUGGUGAGGUAAUGGCUCACCAAGGCGACGACGGGUAGCCGGCCUGAGAGGGUGACCGGCCACACUGGGACUGAGACACGGCCCAGACUCCUACGGGAGGCAGCAGUGGGGAAUAUUGCACAAUGGGCGAAAGCCUGAUGCAGCAACGCCGCGUGAGGGAUGACGGCCUUCGGGUUGUAAACCUCUUUUAGUAGGGAAGAAGCGAAAGUGACGGUACCUGCAGAAAAAGCACCGGCUAACUACGUGCCAGCAGCCGCCGUAA